ACCUAAUCCCUCAUUCUUCCUCUCAGUUUAUCCAUCCUCCUAAGCGUGGUUAGGGUUUCUCAUUUCUUCCGCUCCACUCUACAUCACAGCCGACCUGUUCUUCUCUGUCUUCUUCGAUCUUCAUCUCGACGGAUCGAAGAUUGAAGAUUCAGCUUUUUUUCCAUUAAUCGCCGGUUCCAUUUGAAUCCUAAAACUUAUGUGUUUUUGUGGAUACGGCAUAAGGCGGCGAUAGAGCAUGUGUUUCAUUAUAUGAUCGUCACUGAAGGGGUGAAGGGUUUGUGACUGCAGGAACCCAAUUUUUUCGUGAAUGAAUUUUUUUUUUGCAGUCAAUCAAAAUAUCACGGAAUUCUUUACGACUACUGUGAAAGCAAUGGAUUGGUGAUUAUGAACUUUGGAUAUGGUGAAAGCCCUGCUGGAACGAUAAAUGGGCCUGCUCAUCAAAUAUUCUUCUAGGCUGGUGUGGACAAUAUCUACCUUCUAGAAGCCGCUGAUAAAUUCAUCCAGCACCAACCAAAGGAGAUGUGGUGUUUUAAAUAUAAUGGAUAAAAAGUUGGUUAAUUAUUUACAUGAUCCGUCAUACGAACUUUUACUAAAUGCUACCUUUGUCGUAUUUGUUGUAUACAUGGCAGGUUAUUGGUGAGUCAGCUGGGUCAAUGUUGACUGUGGCUAAAGUUUUCGAUACGUUUCUGGUUAUUGCCAAGUAAUCUGGAAAGGAUAGUCAAGAUAAGAAGAAGAAUCACAUCAAGGGACUUCUUGUUGCAGCAACCGACUGCGAACCCCAAUAUUUAAUCCGCCUGCUUGAGACAAAAUUGAGAAUCGGUUUAGCAGAGCAAACUCUCUUGACAGCUCUGGGUCAUGCCUUUUUCUAUACUGAAAAACACCCAUCACCACCAGCUCGCACCAAUUCACCUCUAGAAGACGCUGUGCUAAGAUUGUGAAACAAGUGUAUGAUCGUAAUUCCCGUAGAUGACAAAAUUGUCCCUGCUCUUCUUUCUGGGGGUGUUUGGGAUUUGCCCGAAACGUGUUGUUUUUCACCUGGUAUUCCAGUUGGACCUAUGCUAGCUAAGCCUACUAAAGGUGUAUCUGAGAUUUUAGAUAGAUUUCAGAAAAUGGAGUUCACUUGUGAACAUAAAUAUGACGGUGAAUGGGCCCAGAUACAUUAUUUAGAGGAUGGCGCGGUUCAAAUAUACAGCAGAAAUGCUGAAAGAAACACCCAGAAGUUUCCGGAUGUUGUUGCUGCUUCAAGUAUGAUGUAGGUGGUUGUUUGCAUAAUGCAUUAAAGGCGGACUUACGAGUUCAACCAGUUUGACCAUGUGUGCAAUCUCUGGUGCUACAAUAAGAACUUAUUUGCUAGAAAGAUCACGCGUCUGUAGAAUUUAUCAUUGUUUUUUACAUUUUAUGUGUUGCACCACCCGAGGAGUCUGAAACGUAGAAAGUUGGAAGUUCAAGAAAGUUUCAUUAUUAUGAACUGAACGGAGUGGACGAUUAUAAGAGUAACUUGCUACAAAGAAAGCUAUGGGUGUUGUUGGAACCAACUCUGAUGAACAGGUGCUCACAAAAUGGUCACAAACAGCCACACUGUUCGUCUCCGUCUUCGAAUCUUUAAUCUUCAUCUCAACGGUAUGUUUUACGUCACCACGUCUCCAUCUUCUAAGGUAUGUUUUUGGUUCAAACACUCAGACCCACAUCAUUUGAUUUUGUUUAUUCUACGCCACCACAUUUGGUUUUUUAAACAUUCUUCUUAAUUUAAAUUAUUUUGCAAAGUGAGAUUAUUAAUAAAAUUGUAUUUUAUAUAAUUGAUACACUUUGUUAUGAAAAGAAAAUUUGAUAAAAAGUGUUUUAGGGCAAUCUGACUAUAUCAAAAAGUUAUAUAAUUUGACCUAUCCACCUCUUUUGCCAUCUUUAACACCAACCAUUUGGCCACAUAUCUUAAUGGCGGGUUAGCUUAAAAAUAAUAUAAAAUUUGUUUUCCUACAUUUUAUAUUGUAGAUCAAGUUUUCUACCCUUGACUUGGAGCUUUAUGGUAAGUAUAUUCGUGGUGGAUCAAAAUCUCUUUAUGAUAUUGAUCAAAGGUUUGGUAAAAGAAUGAAUGUGCUUCCUACACUUCCAUAGGAUCGGUUCGUUUGUGGUUUCAGCCAUAAUUGUUGGUUCUUUAUAAUGUUUGUUUUCAUUUGAUCUUAUAUCAGUGAUGAAUAGUCCUUGUGUAUGCUUAUUUGUACGUUCUUAAUUCUUUGUAGUGAUGGUCAAAAACAUGUGGAUAUGCUGCUGGUUAGUACAACUAUAAGCUACUCUUCCUCCGAUUCGGCAGAUCAUUCGAUUAUGUCCUUCGACUCGGUCCUAAAAUAAGUUUCAGGUUUUUUUUUGUUGGACAACUUUUUUAUAAAGCUACCAGUUUUGUUCGUUCUUGUGGAUUUGUUCAAUCACUUAUGAAAAUGCCUUGGCAGGAUUGUCCCCAAUUGAUACUGUUCAAAAAGUUAGUGGUAGACUAAAUUCUCUUCACCCAAAGGACAUUCAUGUAUGAACAUUAAGCACACUACAAACUUGCACAAAAAGAACAAGCUGAGAGAAAUGAGACAAUUAUUCUUUAUAUUGACAGAGAUCAUAAUCACAAGUGCCUUGAAAACAUAUAGAAAAGCUACUCUUUUUGUUCAUCCCAACAAACUGUACCAACAGGGGCAACCGUUCAGCAAAAAUAUAUAUGUGAAAAGGUUUCCGAUGUUUUAAAGAAAGAAUGAUGAUGAUGGAAUUGAUGAGAAAAAGAUUAUGAAUUGCAAAAGUGUUUUGAAUAAGAAAAGAAAGUAUGCACAGUUUCAUUUGGAUUUGGGUCAGUCUGAUUUUAUGUUUAGAAAUUGUAAGAUUUGUGGGAUGAAGUUUGUGCCUGGAGAUGAAGAUGAUGAGAGGCUGCAUAAAGAGUUUCAUAAGAGUUAUACUCAUGGUAUUGGCUUGAAGGGUUGGUGUAAAGAAAGAGUGCUUGAUACACACUCGUCACAAAAUGGGCGUGUUAUUUUAGUACAGAACGAUUAUCCUCCUGCUCAUAUUAAAAAGGUUGAGGAGGUUAUUAAGAUGAUGGAGAUGGAACUUGGUGAUGGAUGGAUCUUUCAUAAAGACUGUAAGGCUGUAAACAUGGGCCACGCCCACGGCUCGUAAACUUAAGUGUGAUCCACAGCAGCCCAAUUCCCAAUGCGGAUUCUAUAUCAGAUCAACUGACGACGCUUACGGUUCGUAACCUCGGUCGAAUACGGGUCAGAUAUGGUGAAAGGAGAGAGUAUCAGGCACGAUGGCGAGUGGCUAGGAUGUGGCGGAGUAAUGGCGGUGUUUCCGUCGAGUGCUUGGUUGGGAUUCACUAAACAGAAGACAAGGCGGCUUAUGGUAGAUCGGUUCGGUCACACAAGCAGCCGUACAAUAAGCGCCAGUUGUGGUCCCAUAUCAAGCAAUCAAUACUGGUUCCGGCCAUAUAAGGGUUCCGGCCGUUAUCCGGUCACCAACUUUCAUCUUGGAUGGUUGAUUGGGCGGCUCUUGGAGGUGAUUGAGUUAGUUGUGAAAUGCGUCUUUUAUGCAAAAUAUUUGCUUGAGUUAUGGACCGAUGGCGAUAUAGAUAGGUUUAAGAAAAACAACGAAAAUGUUAUAGAUUUAGAAAGGGUUGAGGUUUUUUUUGAAUGGCAGGGUGUACUAGAUUUUUUAGUACUGGAUAUGAUUUUGAUUAUUUUUGGAAGGUUUAAGAGGUUUACUCAGAUCAAUUUCAUAAGACAGAGGAACUAUAUGUGAACGAUUUGCCUGAGCUUUUGAUUGACUGCAA